rnacentral:rRNA from 1 species
CACAGAGGGUGCAAGCGUUAAUCGGAAUUACUGGGCGUAAAGCGUGCGUAGUCGGUUAUCUAAGUCGGGUGUGAAAUCCCCGGGCUCAACCUGGGAAUUGCAUUCGAUACUGGAUAGCUAGAGUUCGGCAGAGGGAAGCGGAAUUUCGGGUGUAGCGGUGAAAUGCGUAGAUAUCCGAAGGAACAUCAGUGGCGAAAGCGGCUUCCUGGACCAGAACUGACGAUCAGGCACGAAAGCGUGGGGAGCAAACAGG